GACGAACGCUGGCGGCGUGGAUAAGACAUGCAAGUCGAACGAUUAUCAUCGGGUAGCAAUAUUCGGUGGUGAGAGUGGCGCAAGGGUGCGUAACACGUGGGUAAUUUGCCAUGAAGUCUGGAAUAACUUGCUGAAAGGCGAGCUAAUACCGGAUGCGAUUUUUGGAAGGCAUCUUCUGAAACUCAAAGUCGGGGACCGUAAGGCCUGACGCUUCUUGAUAAGCCCGCGGCCUAUCAGCUAGUUGGUGAGGUAACGGCUCACCAAGGCUAAGACGGGUAGCUGGUCUGAGAGGACGACCAGCCUCACUGGAACUGAGACACGGUCCAGACACCUACGGGUGGCAGCAGUCGAGAAUUUUUCNCAAUGGGGAAACCCUGAAGGAGCGACGCCGCGUGGGGGAUGAAUGGCUUCGGCCCGUAAACCCCUGUCAUUUGCGAUCAAACCUUACGACCUAACACGUCG
rnacentral:rRNA from 1 species